rnacentral:rRNA from 1 species
CCGGCGGGAGGGACAUUACCGAGUUUACAACUCCCAAACCCAAUGUGAACGUUACCAAACUGUUGCCUCGGCGGGGUCACGCCCCGGGUGCGUCGCAGCCCCGGAACCAGGCGCCCGCCGGAGGAACCAACCAAACUCUUUCUGUAGUCCCCUCGCGGACGUAUUUCUUACAGCUCUGAGCAAAAAUUCAAAAUGAAUCAAAACUUUCAACAACGGAUCUCUUGGUUCUGGCAUCGAUGAAGAACGCAGCGAAAUGCGAUAAGUAAUGUGAAUUGCAGAAUUCAGUGAAUCAUCGAAUCUUUGAACGCACAUUGCGCCCGCCAGUAUUCUGGCGGGCAUGCCUGUCCGAGCGUCAUUUCAACCCUCGAACCCCUCCGGGGGAUCGGCGUUGGGGAUCGGGACCCCUCACACGGGUGCCGGCCCCGAAAUACAGUGGCGGUCUCGCCGCAGCCUCUCCUGCGCAGUAGUUUGCACAACUCGCACCGGGAGCGCGGCGCGUCCACGUCCGUAAAACACCCAACUUUCUGAAAUGUUGACCUCGGAUCAGGUAGGAAUACCCGCUGAACUUAAGCAUAUCAAUAAGCGGAGGAA